GACGAACGCUGGCGGCGUGCCUAAUACAUGCAAGUNGAGCGAACAGAAAAGGAGCUUGCUCCUUUGACGUUAGCGGCGGACGGGUGAGUAACACGUGGGCAACCUACCCUAUAGUUUGGGAUAACUCCGGGAAACCGGGGCUAAUACCGAAUAAUCUCUUUUGCUUCAUGGUGAAAGACUGAAAGACGGUUUCGGCUGUCGCUAUAGGAUGGGCCCGCGGCGCAUUAGCUAGUUGGUGAGGUAACGGCUCACCAAGGCGACGAUGCGUAGCCGACCUGAGAGGGUGAUCGGCCACACUGGGACUGAGACACGGCCCAGACUCC
rnacentral:rRNA from 1 species